CGGCCUCCCUAAGUGCUGGGAUUACAGGCGUGAGCUACCAUGCCCGGCCAGAAGGUAUUUUAAAUUUAUAGGUGAAGCUAAAGUUGUUUGGGGUACCUUAUAUGACCUUUUUAAGGUUGGGAUUGGAUUCUUUUCCAACAGAACACUUGAUUAUCAUUAGAAAUAGUUCAGCAUUGUCCCCAGCUCAUGAAAGGGUUGUGUCGAGAAGAUGAGGCACAUGUUUCCCAUGAAAAUGAUGCAGAAACUUCAGCAGGUAGAGGGCAAGUAGUUGGUUGAGGCCUGAAGGAUGACAUACAAGGUCAGAGACUUGGGUUGUGGAAAGUAUAAUGGAGGCUACAAGAGUUGAUGAAAAGGAGCAGUGACGGUUUUGUCUUCCUCUUCUCUUUUAAUGUUUGCUUAGGUGUAAGAAACAGGGAGGGUGAUUAGGUGGAGAGGAGUGGAUAGCAGAAGCAGAAAGGCAGGAUUUUUCCUUCGCCUUUGUUACUGUCUUUUUGACAGCAGAUUAAGAUCUGUAUCAGAAAGGGAAGAAAUCCCUAACAGCACUGGGAAGGGAAAGGGACUUCUUAAGGUUCGUAGGAAGCCCUCGGUGUUAUAAGUCUGCAGAAUAUGUGUCAGUAAGGGACAGAUAUUCUCUGUGCUAAAAGUUGGUCACAUAUGAAGAACGGCCUUAAUACAAAAAAGUGGUGGUGGGUGCCUGUAAUUCCAGCUGCUUGGGAGGCUGAGGCAGGAGAACUGCUUGAACCUGGGAGGCAGAGGUUGCAGUGAGCUGAGAUCAGGCCAUUGCACUCCAGCCUGGGCGACAGAACAAGACUCUGUCUCAGAAAAAAAAAAAACAAAGAAAAGAAAAAUGGCCUUAAGUGAAUUGCCAUUGCUGACUUGGCUGGGCCAUUAGUCUGACUCCAUAUGAGAUUUUUGAGUUCUUCAGCUCUGCUUCUUGGUUCCAAAUACCACUGCCUAGCUGCAUACAGUGGUUCACACCUAUAAUCUCAGCACUUUGAGAGGCUGAGGCAGGUAGAUUGCUUGAGACCAGGAGUUUGAGACCAGGCUGGGCAACAUAGUGAGACCUCCAUCUCUACAAAAAUAUAAAAAUAGGCCACACAUGGUAGCCCAGCUACUCAGGAAGCUGAGGUAGGAGGAUCCUUUGAGCCUAGGAGGUGGAGGCUACAGUGAGCUAUGAUCACACCACUCCACUCCAGCCUGGGAGACAGAGCGAGACCCUGUCUCAAAAAAAAUACCACUGCCACUGUGUCAUAAUUUAGAAGGAUUCAUGUUCUCUGCCUCCAAGCAGAAAAGCCGGUUACCUACUAUCAAGACUGCAUUUAAGGGAUAUAUUAGGAACUUCUAAGCCGGAAAACCAAUGUAUUUGAAAUGACAAUUUAUUUCUGCCUGAACCUACACUGUCUAGGAAUCUGUUCCUGGAAUCCUCAGGGUAUACAGAUUUCUUCUCAAAUCAGAGCUGUAAAAACUACCCAUUCACCAUUUGGGAAACACCUUUCUUCCACUUCUUAUUGGAAGCCCUGGUGGUCAUGUUGAUCCUCUGCUAUGUUUUUCUCCCAAAGCCAAAUAAUCCUCUUUACAGACUUGGGGUUUCAUGGACAUCCUCAUCACCCUUAGGUGAUUGCAUACUCGGAACAUCGUUACCGUAUCUUUGGGGAAACCAUCGAUAUUGCAGUGGGUAAUUGUCUGGAUCGUUUUGCUCGAGUGCUGAAGGUAAGCCAGUGGGGCUGCAGAGAACAUAAAAUGUGGGUGAAUUUUUGGGAAGCCAUGGAGGUGGAGGGAGGAAAUAGUAAAUGAGCUUCUUAUGCUUCCUUCAUAUCUGAUUUCAUCCUCUUCCAUUCCCUCCUUCCUUAUUUUUUUCUUCUGCUAGAUUUCUAACGACCCAAGUCCAGGAUACAACAUUGAACAGAUGGCAAAGCGGUAAGGGGACAUAAGGUGGAAGCAGGCUGGCUGCUGGGGCUUCAGGGAUUUCCCCAUAUACGAGGCAAGAAGCUAGUUGAGCUGCCAUACACUGUAAAGGGGAUGGACGUCUCAUUCUCAGGGAUCCUGUCUUUCAUUGAGGAUGUAGCCCAUCGGAUGCUGGCCACAGGCGAGUGUACUCCUGAGGAUCUGUGUUUCUCCCUGCAGGAAACUGUGUUUGCAAUGCUGGUAGAGAUCACAGAGCGAGCCAUGGCACAUUGUGGCUCCCAGGAGGCCCUCAUUGUGGGAGGAGUGGGGUGUAAUGUGAGGCUACAGGAGAUGAUGGCAACAAUGUGCCAGGAACGUGGAGCCCGGCUUUUUGCUACAGAUGAGAGAUUCUGUAUUGACAAUGGAGCGAUGAUAGCCCAGGCUGGCUGGGAGAUGUUUCGGGCUGGACACAGGACCCCACUCAGUGAUUCUGGGGUUACACAGAGGUAUCGGACAGAUGAAGUAGAGGUGACCUGGAGGGACUAAUAAGAUGAACAGAAUCAGAGUAGAUAGUUCCUUGAUCGGAACCCAAAGGACCCCGUGCCUCAAUCUCUAUCCUGAUGUCAUGGGAGUCCUAGCAAAGCUAUAGACUCCAAGCAAGGCUUGGGGUCCUUUAUGGAACCCCAGGAUGACUCAGCAAUAAAAUAUUUUUGGUUUUUUGGUUUUGUAUGUUGGUGAUUGGAUUGUGUUGUUCAGGACCAAUGUAGAUUUGGUGCUGGAUAAAUUCUUGUUGGAGCUUGCUGCUGUGGAACCAAGAAUGAGGUAUCUUUUUUAUUUUUUUUAAGAAACGGAAUCUUGCUGUGUUUCCCAGGCUGGUCUCGAACUGGGCUCAAGCAGUCUUACCACCUCAGCCUCCUGAGUAAGGAUGCCAUUGUGCCUGGCAACAAUAGUAGUAUCAUAACUAUUAUUACAGCAUCGGGUCCCGUGCUAACUGCUUUACAUUCAUCCUCUCAUUUAAAUUCUUUGAAGUAGGUGUGCAAGACUUCUCUCAAAAUAGCCUGGAGGCUCACACCCGUAUCCCAGUGCUGUGGGAGGCCAAGUCAGGAGGAUCCCUUGAGCCCAGGAGUUUGAGCCCAGCCUGGGCAAAUAGCAAGACACCAUCUAUUUGAAAAAUGUAAAAAUUAUCUGGGCAUGGUGGCGCACAUCUGUAGUCCCAGCUCCAAGGGAGGCUGAGGCGGGAAGAUAGCUUGAGCCCAGGAGUUUGAGGUUGCAGUGAGCUGUGAUUGAGCCACUGCAUUCCAGCCUGAGUGACAAACAAAACCUUGUCUCUUAAAAACAAACAAACAAACAGCCUGGAGAUUGGUCUAAUUUGU
rnacentral:sRNA from 1 species